AUGUCUUCCUCCGCCGUCCGGCCGUGUUUCCUUUGCCUCCACGCUCCCGCUUCGUCCUCCGGCCUCCUCCCGACCAGCCGUCGGCAUCGCAGCAGCGCCCUGCCGCCGGCACAUGGGCGUAACAACCGGAAGCCCGUCGGCCACGCGAUCGUCUGCAGCCAGGCCGGCGCCGGCGAUGGUCACGCCAUGACGAUCAAAAUCAACCCCCGGGGUCGAGCGGAGAAGGAUUAUGAGUUCCGUGAAGAAGGAGACAGAAUUGAGGAGUACUUCAGGAAGUUUUCUAAUGCCGGCACAUUGCACAUGGGGUUAGCAACAAUAUUUCGAGGUUAUAUUUGCAGGAUCGCUAAAAAUUCUGUGAGGCUGGCUUCUAUUGUCAUGGGUAAGCCAGGCAUAAUUUCUGAAGAUGCACGUCUCACCACACUGAUGACUCCAAGAAAGGGAGAAAAGAUGGCUCUUGGGGUGUAUGUGCGCAACUUUGUCAGUACAGCCGAGGAUGCGUACAAUGAUAAGGUCACUGAGGAAACUAUUGUUACCUUUCUUGGUGCUCUUCAAGGUGUGGCAGCAAUGAGCUACUUCAUGGCCCAAGACACCCUUGCAAAUAUUGGUGAUGAUGAAGCUAGUUCACUGGACUGCGGUCCAGAUUCUGUUUUCAAUAGACCUUGGUUGGAGUACAUGAGGAAAACAGACAAUCUGAGACGUGAAUUCAAGACGGCUCCGCCACAAGACCCGGACGGGCUGUCACCACAGGCUCGGCGGCAGCAGUUUGAUGGCAAACCAUAUCUAUGCUUCAGAAAGAGAGUCACAAGUUCCUUGGAAGAUUAA
rnacentral:rRNA from 1 species